UACAGGAGGUCCCAAGCGUUGUUCGGAUUCACUGGGCGUAAAGGGUGCGUAGGUGGUGAGGUAAGUUCGGAUGUGGAAAUACUCCGGGCUCAACCCGGAAAUGGCAUUGGAAACUACCUUUGCUGGAGGAGUUUGAGGGGGGAUUGGAAUACUUGGUGUAGCAGUGAAAUGCGUAGAUAUCAAGAUGGAACACCAGUGGCGAAG
rnacentral:rRNA from 1 species